GUGCUCACUUCGGCAGCACAUGUACUAAAAUUGGAACGAUACAGAGAUUGGCAUGGCCCCUGCGCAAGGAUGACACACAAAUGCGUGACAUGUUCCAUAUUUAA
ensembl:snRNA U6 U6 spliceosomal RNA